rnacentral:rRNA from 1 species
AUUGAACGCUGGCGGCAUGCCUUACACAUGCAAGUCGAACGGCAGCACGGGGGGUAACCCCUGGUGGCGAGUGGCGAACGGGUGAGUAAUACAUCGGAACGUAUCCUGUAGCGGGGGAUAACCUCUCGAAAGAGAGGCUAAUACCGCAUACGACCUACGGGUGAAAGAGGGGGAUCGCAAGACCUCUCACUAUUGGAGCGGCCGAUGUCGGAUUAGCUAGUUGGUGGGGUAAAAGCCUACCAAGGCUACGAUCCGUAGCUGGUCUGAGAGGACGACCAGCCACACUGGAACUGAGACACGGUCCAGACUCCUACGGGAGGCAGCAGUGGGGAAUUUUGGACAAUGGGCGCAAGCCUGAUCCAGCCAUGCCGCGUGGGUGAAGAAGGCCU